CAAAGCACAACAAACAAAAAUACCAACAUGUUAUGCGACCUCCCACCACACAUCGAGCCAAACUAUAACUAUAGAAGAACUAAUGCUAGAACUAGUAACAUGAGUGACUCUCUGCAGCACACCUUUGACCCAGUAAUAGAAAAACUACUGAUAAUUAACAGACCUAACAACAGGUAAAACAGCACUGUUUAUAUAGACUGUCAAACCAACACCGGGGUGCCACUAAGAAAGAUAAAAAGUUGUAGAAGGAACUCGGCAAAACACGUCCCAACUGUUUACCAAAAACAUAGCCUUUAGCAAUAUUAGUAUUAAAGGUACUGCCUGCCCAGUGAAACUAGUUUUAAACGGCCGCGGUAUUCUAACCGUGCAAAGGUAGCGUAAUCACUUGUCUUCUAAAUAAAGACUAGUAUGAACGGCUAAAUGAGGACUUAUCUGUCUCCUACACCCCAUCAAUGAAACUGAUCUUUCGGUCCAAAAGCCGAAAUAGCCACACAAGACGAGAAGACCCUGUGGAGCUUAAAACACACUACUACUAAAUCAAAAGAUAACUAGUAUUUGUUUUGAGUUGGGGCGACUUCGGAAUAAAACAAAACUUCCGAGCACAGAACCACAAUUCUUAAUCAAGGCCCACACGCCUAAACACAAAUGACCCAGUCAAACUGAUCAACGAACCAAGUUACCCCAGGGAUAACAGCGCUAUCUUCUUCAAGAGUUCAUAUCGACAAGAAGGUUUACGACCUCGAUGUUGGAUCAGGACACCCUAAUGGUGCAGCCGCUAUUAAAGGUUCGUUUGUUCAACGAUUAACAGU
rnacentral:rRNA from 1 species